rnacentral:tRNA from 1 species
GUAGCUUAGCGGUAAAGCGCGUCCUUGGUAAGGACGAGACCCCGAGUUCAAAUCUCGGC